UACGUCACCGAUUCGUGAACGCGGAAGUGAACGGCACUUCGACUGAGCAGCGGGAAGACAGCGGUUGCAAAAUGCGACGCUGAAUUGAGGAGAGACAAAUGACGAAAGUGUGGUCGCAUUUCAUCAUGGCAGGCAAGGGUUGGGUUGCAACGCAGAUCUUUCUCUCCGCAGAGUAGGACACCGCGUCGACGAAGAAUACACGUGAGCAAACCUGGAAAACAGGCGGACCUGACCUGUUGAGUGAUGUGGAAGUGAGCCAAUCACGAAUGAGGCUGUUGACUGGCUAAAGCGUUCGCCACUAGCCACCCUGCAUGUUGAGUGACGGCAUCAGUUGAGGCUGUCGACAGGUCGGGAAGAAAAGAAGACGUUUACUCUAUUUUGUUAGUGUUUGUUCAAUAAAACGAUUGAAAGAGCACCAGCGAAUGUGUCCAUUCUCCCUCUAUCCAAACCAUCUGCUGUGAUUACAAGUGGUUUUGGCUAGUGGUGGGAGGGUAUAUUCAAUUAGCGAACUAUGUUUACUGUAGACGUGCAUUUACGUAACUUAAGCCAUUUGGACUUUGCUAUAGGCACAUUCCACUUUUGCUUCUUUUAUUAAGUAUGAAAUGAUCCCAAACUUUGGACAUUUUCAUUCUUUUAUGAACUCUUUCCUCCUGACUCGCGCUUAUUGCUACGUGAGUCUACAGUAGAGACUGAAUUUCACUAUUAAUCACGAGAUUGGGCAGGAGCGGAAGCGAACGUCACCGAAAGGGGCGGGAGCGGGAACUAUGACAACAAUAUCACCAGGAGUGGAAACCACGGUGGUAGUAGAAACCAUUGUUUUUGUGGGAUUCUGUCCAAUUUUGGCUAGGGAUUGGGAGGGACUGGGAUUGAUUUGUGGGGGAGUGGGAGGGAGCGGGAGUCAAACAGCUGAACAAACUUGUGGCAUUAUCUUUCAAAUGGAAAUCAAAUAUUUGUUUGAUAGUUCUUUUCAACUCUUUGUGGAAGUUCCCAUAACUCUGUGGCUAUUCAUUGGACUUUCAACUAAAAUAAAUAAAUAAAAUAAAAUACUGGGAAAAAAAUAGUAGUACUCCUGGUCAAAAGGUUUAGAACAUGCCAUUCCUUUUUUUUUUUGAGUGGGAGUGUAAUAGCUUUCUAUCUAUAUAUAUAUAUAUAUAUAAAAAACUGUGAUGCUUUUGUGACAUCUUCAGUUAAAACAUUUGUUGGUAAUCAAGCAAACUCAAAGGGAUGCAUUUGCAUUUAGCGACAACAAAUAUCUAGCGCGUAUUCUCGCUAAUAGGGAAACUGGCUAGCUAGCACGCUGGCUAGCAUGCUAACUGUGAGCACAAAAUGUUGACAUGUAACAAAAACCAAAGUGAAAUUUGUUCAGACUGUCCUGAUGACUGAACUCAUUUGCGUGACAAGUGGCAACAUUUUAAAUGCUUCGGUGUUGACGUAUUUUGACGGAAAAAAAAAA